rnacentral:lncRNA from 1 species
CUUAAUCUAAUCUUUUGAAAGCUUUGCUGGAUAUUUAAUACCUCAUUUUCUUUUCUAAAUCUCUUUUGUGAAAAAAAAUAUUUUUGGCAUUUUUGGUGACAGUGUAUCAGAUGCCAACAUGUAUUUUCCAACUAUUUUAUAUAGUUGUAGUGUCGCUACAACAAAACAAAGAAUUACCAGUAAAGAAGAGCUGGCUAUGUGGCCAUGUGCUUGCUGCUUCAAUUACUUGAUUAACUACUCACUUCCAAAGGAAGAAUGGCUC